rnacentral:rRNA from 1 species
UACGAAGGUGGCAAGCGUUACUCGGAAUGACUAGGCGUAAAGGGCAGGUAGGUGGUAUGGUAAGUCUGUUGUGAAAGCUCCUGGCUUAACCGGGAGAGGCCAACAGAUACUGCCGAACUAGAGUGUGGGAGAGGGUACUGGAAUUCCCGGUGUAGCGGUGAAAUGCGCAGAUAUCGGGAGGAACACCAAUGGCGAAAGCAAGUACCUGGACCACUACUGACACUCAGCUGCGAAAGCUAGGGGAGCAAACAGGAUUAGAUACCCUGGUAGUCCUAGCUGUAAACGAUGCACAUUAGACGUGGGGGGUAUCGACCCCCUCCUUGUCGACGCAAACGCAUUAAAUGUGCCGCCUGGGGAGUACGGCCGCAAGGUUGAAACUCAAAGGAAUUGACGGGGGCCCGCACAAGCGGUGGAGCAUGUGGUUUAAUUCGACGCAACGCGAAGAACCUUACCUGGGCUUGAACUGCUGGUAGUAGUUCCCAUGAAAAUGGGAACGAACCGUCAAGUCGGAUGCCAGCAGAGGUGCUGCAUGGCUGUCGUCAGCUCGUGUCGUGAGAUGUUGGGUUAAGUCCCGCAACGAGCGCAACCCUUAUCCCAUGUUGCUACGUUCUUUUAGGACAGCACUCUUGGGAAACUGCCUCGGAUAACGGGGAGGAAGGUGGGGAUGACGUCAAGUCCUCAUGGCCUUUAUGUCCAGGGCUACACACGUGCUACAAUGGUCGGUACAACGAGCAGCAAAUCCGCAAGGAUGAGCAAAUCUCUAAAAACCGGCCCCAGUUCAGAUAGUGGGCUGAAAUUCGCCCACUUGAAGGCGGAAUCGCUAGUAAUCGGGGAUCAGCUGGCCCCGGUGAAUACGUUCCCGGGCCU